rnacentral:tRNA from 3 species
CGGGGUGUAGCGCAGCCUGGUAGCGCACCUGCCUUGGGCGCAGGGGGUCGGAGGUUCAAAUCCUCUCGCCCCGACCA